GGGCCAGUCUGUGGAGGCUAUCAAACUGCUCAGCCCCAGGCUGUCAUUUUAAAAGCCAACCUCUUACCUUGUGCGGGGAGGACUUCAUGUCACAUUCCAGGAGAUGAUGGUACAUCCUACCACACUGACGGUAAACAAGGGCAUCAGCUUCGAGCUGCGGGAAAGAAAGCCUCUGCGGAGAGGAAGACUGCAAUUUGAAGUUUGCAGAGCCCUGGAUGGCAGUGGUGGUGAUUGCACCACCAGGGUCACGCCAUGUGCCCCCUGUCCUGCACGCUCACCUGGACCCUGCUCUAGGAGACGCGGGUGUCCUCAGAGCCACCCCUUCGGCUCUCCCCCAGCGCCAGGAUCCGGGCACAGGUGUUCACGUGGAGAUGGUUCCAGCAUGGAAACACAGCCCUUCCCCACUCUGGGUACAAGCUCAGGCCAGGGCUCUGUCUUCUGAGUCACAUUUGGGAGGGUAAAAGCACACCCAUGUUCCGUAAAUGCUUCUCGGGGGGCGUGGGAUUGUCACAGGGACUGAAGGACCAGCCUUGGCUUGGGUCGGGCUUGAAAAGAGACAGGAAAAGUCACCUGGAAAAGGACUUUGGAAAAUAAAGAAAGGAAAGGCGGUUUAAAGAGACUCAUGUGUAGGUUUCAGAAGCA
rnacentral:lncRNA from 1 species